AGAGCGAACGCUGGCGGCAGGCCUAACACAUGCAAGUCGAGCGCCCGUAGCAAUACGGGAGCGGCAGACGGGAUAGUAACACGUGGGAACGCGCCCUUCGGUUCGGAAUAACUCAGGGAAACUUGAGCUAAUACCGAAUACGCCCUUACGGGGAAAGAUUUAUUGCCGAAGGAACGGCCCGCGUCCGAUUAGCUAGUUGGUGAGGUAAUGGCUCACCAAGGCUACGAUCGGUAGCUGGUCUGAGAGGAUGACCAGCAUCACUGGGACUGAGACACGGCCCAGACUCCUACGGGAGGCAGCAGUGGGGAAUAUGGACAAUGGCGCAAGCCUGAUCCAGCCAUGCCGCGUGGAUGAUGAAGGCCUUAGGGUUGUAAAGUCCUUUUAACGGGGAAGAUAAUGACGGUACCCGUAGAAUAAGCCCCGGCUAACUUCGCGCCAGCAGCCGC
rnacentral:rRNA from 1 species